rnacentral:rRNA from 1 species
GCAUAUCAAUAAGCGGAGGAAAAGAAACUAACAAGGAUUCCCCUAGUAACGGCGAGUGAAGAGGGAAGAGCCCAAGAUUGAAAGCUGGCGUCUUCGGCGUCCGCAUUGUAAUCUCAAGAAGUGUUUUCCGCUUCGGACCAUGCCUAAGUCCCUUGGAAAAGGGCAUCAUAGAGGGUGAGAAUCCCGUACAUGGCAUGGAGCGCCCGAGGCUUUGUGAUACGCUUUCUAAGAGUCGAGUUGUUUGGGAAUGCAGCUCAAAAUGGGUGGUAAAUGCCAUCUAAGGCUAAAUAUUGGGGAGAGACCGAUAGCGAACAAGUACAGUGAUGGAAAGAUGAAAAGAACUUUGAAAAGAGAGUUAAACAGUACGUGAAAUUGCCAAAAGGGAAGGGUAGGAGGUCAGAGAUGCGUCUUGGGAUUCAGCCUUGCAUUUUUUGUUUGGUGUUUUUCCCAAGUUUGCAGGCCAACGUCGGUUUUGGGCACUGGAGAAGGGUGGAAGGAACGUGGCACCUCUCGGGGUGUGUUAUAGCCUUCUACUGGAUACAGCGACCGAGACCGAGGACAGCAGCGUACUCGCAAGAGCGGGCCUUCGGGCACCUUUACGCUUAGGGCGUUGGCAUAAUGGCCCUCUACCACCCGUCUUGAAACACGGACCAAGGAGUCUAACAUGUAUGCGAGUCUUUGGGUGGCAAACCCAUAGGCGCAAUGAAAGUGAAUUCAGGUGGGAUCCGCAAGGUGCACCAUCGACCGAUCCUCACGUCUUUUUAAGUCGUGGAUUUGAGUAAGAGCAUACCUGUUGGGACCCGAAAGAUGGUGAACUAUGCCUGAAUAGGGUGAAGCCAGAGGAAACUCUGGUGGAGGCUCGUAGCGGUUCUGACGUGCAAAUCGAUCGUCAAAUUUGGGUAUAGGGGCGAAAGACUAAUCGAACCAUCUAGUAGCUGGUUCCUGCCGA